rnacentral:rRNA from 1 species
AACGAACGCUGGCGGCAUGCCUAACACAUGCAAGUCGAACGAGACCUUCGGGUCUAGUGGCGCACGGGUGCGUAACGCGUGGGAACCUGCCCUUAGGUUCGGAAUAACUCCCCGAAAGGGGUGCUAAUACCGGAUAAUGUCUUCGGACCAAAGAUUUAUCGCCUUUGGAUGGGCCCGCGUUGGAUUAGCUAGUUGGUAGGGUAAAAGCCUACCAAGGCGACGAUCCAUAGCUGGUCUGAGAGGAUGAUCAGCCACACUGGGACUGAGACACGGCCCAGACUCCUACGGGAGGCAGCAGUGGGGAAUAGUGGACAAUGGGCGAAAGCCUGAUCCAGCAAUGCCGCGUGAGUGAUGAAGGCCUUAGGGUUGUAAAGCUCUUUUACCCGGGAUGAUAAUGACAGUACCGGGAGAAUAAGCUCCGGCCAACUCCGUG